GGACAGAGUCUGGCCAAUGACAGAGGGUUAUUCUUCACAGAGACAUCAGCCCUGUCAGGGGAUCAGGUGGAGCAGCUGCUGCUGGGUGUAGCCCACAGGGUGUGCGAGUGUGUUGGAGCGCAGCAGGGGGCGCUGUCAGAGUGGAAGGAGACGCCUCAUGUGGAUUUGUGCCACAGAAACACAUUCAAUCCUUUUGCAUCCGGCUGCAAAGUGGGACCCUGACCUCUAACUCUGUUGGUUGUUGUACUGCUGGUCUCUGUUUUAAAGCUGCACCGGGUAACACAUGUGCACCUGGUGUACAUCACAACAUCUCAAAUAAAGAAUUGGAAAAAAACACUGAA